UCGCUCCCGGCCGCCGCUCCCGCUCAGCCCCGGGCGCGGCCGGAAGCGCUGACGAGCCACGACCCCGGCGGAGGCGCGCCGGAAGUGACGUCACGCGGCGCGCCGGGCGUUGCUAGGCAACGCGGCCUACCGCGCCCCCGGCUUUGGCAUUCCCGAAUCCCGGCGUUUUCCCCUGGGAAAUCCGGGCGAAUGAAGGAGGGACGGGCUGGGCGGUCGAUCAAGAAGCUUCUCCAGUGAGCGUUCCGGUCAUGGAUCUGGGAAAAAAAAUGAGUGGGACAGGAAAACAGUUAGAUCUGCCAAAUGCUGAACUUCAUCCACAGCUAAAUCCAACAAGUUUGGGAUAACUCCAUGAUCCUGCGCUCCAAGUCUCAACUCAAACACAAACAAGGCUCUUUUGCCAAAUCCGUGCUGAAUUUCUGGCUCUGCUGCCAUGGAAUGCAUCCAAAAUCAGCUGGAAUUUCAGCACACAGGCAAAAUAUUGACUUGGAGCUGGAAGGGAACCUCCUGUUCUGUCCGUGCUGUCACUUCCAGGACCUGGAGGCCGCUGGGAAGAGCUGAGCUCAACAUUUUCCAGCUGGGAAUGUGUAAAUUCCUGUUAAUAUGCGGCAUGAGACUGGUGUUACGAGGCUGGAAUGAGGGUUAAAACAUUGGGAGACUCUGCAUUAAUCCAUAAAAAAUCUAAAAUCCCGA